GUGCUCAUUUGAUAGCACACAUACUAAAAUUGGAACGAUACAGAGAAGAUUAGCAUGGCCCCUGCACAAGGGUGACACACAAAUUCGUGAAGUAUUCCAUAUUUUU
rnacentral:snRNA from 1 species